AGUAUGAAGUCGUCGGUAAGGAAUUAAGUGCAGCGGCACAAAAUCGUGCUAAAAACUUACUGUCACAGUACGUACCGAAUCGUACCGAUAUGUGCCGUCACAAAAAAUAUACGUGUACCAAUACGUAAUAGGAUGAAAUAUUUAUUUUUUUUAGCAAUAAAUUAUGCCAAUUAUUUAUUAUGUAUUUUUAGCAAAUUUUUUGAAUUUUAUGAAGAAAAUUACUUGCUAAUUUUAAAAAUAGAAGAUUUUGAAUUGCGCUAUCGGCACUUGAGCUGUAUCGUGUCGAUAUUUUGCUGGCACGAUACGACACAGUGGAUACGGCCCGUGUCGAUGGGCACUUUAAUUUUUGGUCGGCACUCAACUGAUCACUUGGAAGGAGAAGUCGGCAACGCGUGUUGGCAUACGCAACAUGGUGAGAGAGCAAGAUUUGGUCACGAUGAGUGAUAAUUAUCUCAUUUAUUAUUACUAAUAAUUGACCAAACAACUAUCUCAUUUAUUAUUACUAAUAAUUGACCAAACAACUAGGAACUGACAAAAUUCAUUAAAGUAAAUCAUACUCAAAUUCUAAUUUAUUAUAAUUUCUAGUUUAAGUUUUUGUAUUGAGUAAUUAAAUCUCACAGCCCAAUUUAGUUGGCUAAAUAUUGAUAAACUAUUGGGGUGUGUUUGGUUCGAACUCGGAAUCGAAAUCGGAAUCGGAAUCGGAAUGAGAAUAAGUUGGAAAGAGAAUCAGAAUGAUUCAUACCUCAUUUUGUUUAGUUUGCAACCUGAAUCGGAAUUGGAAUGAACCAUUUUCAUUGUCGGUGUUUGGUUCAGAUAGAUAUUAAAAAUAUAAUUAAAUUAAUAUGUCAAUUUUAUUUUUAUAAUAUAUUAGUUUAAAUUCAAACUGAAAAUUUAAAAAUUAAAAUUUAUAAAUAUAAUUUUUAAACUUAAAUUUAUAUUUUAAUUAAAAAUAAACUUAAAAAGUUAAAUUUAAUCCGAACAAAUUUAUUCCGUCCGGAUUUAAUUUCCAAUCCGGCUUCCUAGGCCGGAUUGAAAAAAAGAGAUAAUUGGGAGGAUUCCCAUUCAUCUAGGAAUCAGAAUCAGAAUGAAAAUCAUGCAUAUCAAGUACGGACAAAUGGAUUCGUCCAUUCCAAUUCUAAUUCUAGGGUAAAAAAUGGGUGAACCAAAUAUGCCCUUAUUAAUGUUAAAGUGAUGUGAAAGUGUUUCGAUUGAUGAUACGACAAUCAUUCAUACGUUAUAUUACUUCUACAUCAAUAACUUUAUCAAUAUUUAGUUAACUAAAUUAGAUUGCAUGACUUGAUUGAAAUAAUUCAGAAGAUUCGAGCCCAAAAUUUUAACAAAUUAAAAUUUAAGUACUAACGCGU
rnacentral:lncRNA from 1 species